CAGUAGCCGCGGGAAUACGAAGGGUGCAAGCGUUAAUCGGAAUUACUGGGCGUAAAGCGUACGCAGGCGGUUUGUUAAGUCAGAUGUGAAAUCCCCGGGCUUAACCCGGGAACUGCAUUUGAAACUGGCAGGCUAGAGUCUCGUAGAGGGGGGUAGAAUUCCAGGUGUAGCGGUGAAAUGCGUAGAGAUCUGGAGGAAUACCGGUGGCGAAGGCGGCCCCCUGGACGAAGACUGACGCUCAGGUACGAAAGCGUGGGGAGCAAACAGGAUUAGAUACCCGAGUAGUCCCUGUCUCUUAUAA
rnacentral:rRNA from 1 species